ACGAACGCUGGCGGCGUGCCUAAUACAUGCAAGUAGAACGCACAGUUUAUACCGUAGCUUGCUACACCAUAGACUGUGAGUUGCGAACGGGUGAGUAACGCGUAGGUAACCUGCCUGGUAGCGGGGGAUAACUAUUGGAAACGAUAGCUAAUACCGCAUAAUAUUAAUUAUUGCAUGAUAAUUAAUUGAAAGGUGCAAUUGCACCACUACCAGAUGGACCUGCGUUGUAUUAGCUAGUAGGUGAGGUAACGGCUCACCUAGGCGACGAUACAUAGCCGACCUGAGAGGGUGAUCGGCCACACUGGGAAUGAGACACGGCCCAGACUCCUACGGGAGGCAGCAGUAGGGAAUCUUCGGCAAUGGACGAAAGUCUGACCGAGCAACGCCGCGUGAGUGAAGAAGGUUUUCGGAUCGUAAAGCUCUGUUGUAAGAGAAGAACGGGUGUGAGAGUGGAAAGUUCACACUGUGACGGUAUCUUACCAGAAAGGGACGGCUAACUACGUG
rnacentral:rRNA from 1 species